UACGUAGGGGGCUAGCGUUGUCCGGAUUUAUUGGGCGUAAAGAGCGUGUAGGCGGCCAGAUAGGUCUGCUGUGAAAACUCGAGGCUCAACCUCGAGAUGUCGGCGGAAACCAUUUGGCUAGAGUCCGGGAAGAGGCGAGUGGAAUUCCUGGUGGUAGCGGUGAAAUGCGUAGAUAUCUGGAGGAACACCUGCGGCGAAGGCGGGUUGCUGGGCUGACACUGACGCUGAGGCGCGAAAGCCAGGGGAGCGAACGGG
rnacentral:rRNA from 1 species